AAUUUUUAAAAAGAAAAAAAAAAAAAAAAAAUCCAAGAUCCUGCUAAAGUCUAAAUUUAGCAUAUUGACAAAAGAAUAUGGAUUUGUACCCUCUUUAAAACCUUUUUUUUUUUACCAGUUUUCUUUUGUGUUAAUGCUCUCUUAAAUAAAACACUGCAUGAAUUCC